rnacentral:rRNA from 1 species
GAAAAGAACCCCGGGAGGGGAGUGAAAUAGAACCUGAAACCCUGCACUUACAAGCUGUGGAAGCACAUUUCUUGUGUGACCGCGUACUUUUUGUAGAACGGGCCAACGAGUUACGUUAAGUAGCAAGGUUAAGCACUUAAGGUGUGGAGCCGUAGCGAAAGCGAGUUUUAACUGAGCGUUCAGUUACUUGACGUAGACCCGAAACCGGGCGACCUACCCAUGAGCAGGAUGAAGCGAAAGUAAAAUUUCGUGGAGGUCCGAACCCACGAGCGUUGAAAAGCUCGGGGAUGACUUGUGGGUAGCGGUGAAAUUCCAAUCGAGCCCGGAGAUAGCUGGUUCUCCCCGAAAUAGCUUUAGGGCUAGCCUCAAGGUGAGAGAUACGGAGGUAGAGCACUGAAUGUCCUAGGGGGUAUUGCACCUACCGAAGACUAUCAAACUCCGAAUGCCGUCAUCUUAUACUUGGGAGUCAGACUGUGGGUGAUAAGAUUCAUAGUCGAAAGGGCAACAGCCCAGAUCGUCAGCUAAGGUCCCUAAAUGUAAGUUAAGUGGUAAAGGAUGUGGGAUUGCACAGACAACCAGGAUGUUGGCUUAGAAGCAGCCACUCAUUCAAAGAGUGCGUAAUAGCUCACUGGUCGAGUGAUCCUGCGCCGAAGAUUUCCGGGGCUAAAACUUACUACCGAAGCUACGGCAUCAGUAAUGAUGGGUAGGGGAGCUUCCCAUA